UAAAACGUAGGAGGCGAGCGUUAUCCGGAUUUACUGGGUGUAAAGCGCGUGCAGGCGGUUAGCUAAGUUGGGUGUGAAAGCUCCCGGCUCAACUGGGAGAGGUCGCUCAAGACUGGCUGGCUCGAGGAUGGUAGGGGAAGGUGGAAUUCCGGGUGUAGUGGUGAAAUGCGUAGAUAUCCGGAGGAACACCAGUGGCGAAGGCGGCCUUCUGGACCAUCACUGACGCUCAGACGCGAAAGCUAGGGUAGCAAACGGGAUUAGAGACCCCGGUAGUCCUAGCCGUAAACGAUGUGAACUUGGCGCUGGUCGGGUAAAACUGAUCCGUGCCGCAGCAAACGCGAUAAGUUCACCACCUGGGGACUACGGCCGCAAGGUUAAAACUCAAAGGAAUUGACGGGGGCCCGCAC
rnacentral:rRNA from 1 species